GGUAGCAUGGCCGAGCGCUCCAAGGUGCUGGAUUAAGGUUCCACUCUCUGCGGGGACGUUGGUUCGAAUCCCAUGGCUGCCA
rnacentral:tRNA from 1 species